rnacentral:rRNA from 1 species
GGGGAAUAUUGCACAAUGGGCGAAAGCCUGAUGCAGCGACGCCGCGUGCGGGAUGAAGGCCUUCGGGUUGUAAACCGCUUUUAAUUGGGAGCAAGCGAGAGUGAGUGUACCUUUUGAAUAAGCACCGGCUAACUACGUGCCAGCAGCCGCGGUAAUACGUAGGGUGCAAGCGUUAUCCGGAAUUAUUGGGCGUAAAGAGCUCGUAGGCGGUUUGUCACGCCUGGUGUGAAAGUCCAUCGCUUAACGGUGGAUCUGCGCCGGGUACGGGCAGGCUAGAGUGCAGUAGGGGAGAUUGGAAUUCCCGGUGUAACGGUGGAAUGUGUAGAUAUCGGGAAGAACACCAAUGGCGAAGGCAGAUCUCUGGGCUGUUACUGACGCUGAGGAGCGAAAGCAUGGGGAGCGAACAGGAUUAGAUACCCUGGUAGUCCAUGCCGUAAAACGGUGGAUGCUGGAUGUGGGACCCUUCCACGGGUUCCGUGUCGGAGCUAACGCGUUAAGCAUCCCGCCUGGGGAGUACGGCCGCAAGGCUAAAAC